AACACUUCUUAGCUUGCCUCUCUCUAAAACCAACAAGAACUAAAAGUCCCAAUGGCUGAGAAUAACAGGCCGAGGUUGUAUUUGACAAUCAAGUCAAAAAAAACUUAAAAAGUAAAAAUAAAAAUAAAGGGAGUGAAAAAAUGAUAUUAAAAGCACAACCCUAAACUUCUUGUCCCUUACUUUUUCACCCUCACUAGAUGGUUUUUUUCUUCAAAUUACAUCCUUUUUCUUUUUUCAAAACCAAGUUAAAUAAUUAAUCCCCUUUUGCUUUGGUUCUUGUGUCUUUUUUAGGAAAUAAUAAUAAUAAUUAGCAACGAGAACCCUUUUUACAGUUGAGUGCACCAGAACUAGACACAAGAUUGGCUACUAAUGAAGACGGCCUUGCACUCAAACUCGAAGCUUUAGCAUAACUUGAUGAACCAGUUCUAACUCCUGAUCGCGUAAAAAAUGCACCAUUCAACAUUAGGUCCCCAUCGGUCCUCCAAUUCCAAUUCUUCCAUUCA
rnacentral:misc_RNA from 1 species